UUGUAUUUGUGAGGUAGAGCGAGCUUUGACAUCGCGUCGGCAGAGCGAAGCUGGCAUCAGUUGGUGAUGCACGCGUAUUAUAUUGAUGGUUAGAAUACCAAAUUUGUGAGUGUAAAUGCUUCAUUUUAUACCUGGUUUUCAGUAGCAGAUGUUUACUGAAUUGAGAUAAUGUUUGAAAGGGAGAACAUUGACAUGAAUUUUGAGGCUUAGAGCGGUCAUAUUCACUCACCGAACGAACGAUCGAAUGAACGAAAGGUAGUCAGACAGACACGGUUGGAACAAAGUAAAUUUGAGAUUGUUUAACUGAUGGUCGUAUUGUUGCCUUGUUGUUCGCGUUUGUGUGAUUUGACCAAAGACGCCC